CCGACCUUUUCUGACGGUCU
rnacentral:snRNA from 1 species